UUGAAAGGGAAACGAUUGAAGUCAGUCGUACCGACGAGAAAUCAACUUAUCGUGUGCGAACUUGUGGGCGUGCGUGAGUUUCGGCCUCGCUGUUUGCAUGUUUGUGCGCUUUGGGUGUACUUUUUCGUAUGGUAGGCCAACGUCAGUUUCGAUUAUCAUAAAAUGACCGGCGGAAUGUAGCUUCGAUUUCGGUUGAAGUGUUAUAGCCUCUGGUAGAUGUGGUGAUUGAGACUGAGGAUUGCAACGAAUACCCUUUGGGCUAUCCGUCUGGCCUCUGAAAGUUGCUCAGGUGCCGAAAGCGUGCUUACGGUCAUCUAAGAUAACGUUCAACAGGUUAGAACGUGAUUACAUUCGUUAAGGAUGUUGACGUA
rnacentral:rRNA from 1 species